AAAGAUUUAUAAUUUUUGAAUAUUUAUGUGGAACUGAUCUCAAAUAGAGCUAAAUGGUGAAAAUUGAUCCAUAUAGCUGACUUUAAUUAGUUUGGAAUUAAGGUUUAGUUGUUAUUAUUUCUAUUAGAAUAUCAAGGAUUCUAGUUUUCUGAAAUCUGAAAUUAUAGCCUGAGAAAAAAGUAGCCUGUUUGCAGUAGCUCUCUUUUAACACAUUAAUUUUGACCUCAGACCAUAAUGUCUAUAAUCUACACAGGUUCUUUCCUGAGAAGGCUGAAGUUUUAGCAUUUGAUAUUCUCAACAUACUUAUUGAGGAGCUGAAGAUGAAGCCAUGCCCUCUAGUCUUUGCUUCCUUUUCUGGGGGUCCAAAAGCCUGUAUGUACAAGGUUCUUCAGAUUAUUGAGGGAAAGUGUAAACUAGAAAUGAAUUUGGAUGACUGCCGACUGGUUAGGGACUGUAUUUCGGGUUAUAUCUAUGAUUCUAGUCCAGUGGAUUUUACAAGUGAUCUGGGGAGACGAUUUGUUGUUCACCCAUCUGUUCUUAAAAUCUCCCAUACACCAAGAGUACUAUCAUGGAUGGCAAAUGUCAUUUGUAAUGGCCUUGAUGCAGUCUUCCUCAACACGUUUGAAUCACAGCGAGCUGAGUAUUGGCAGACACUGUACUCUUCUGUUAGCAUGGGGGCCCCAUAUCUUAUUUUGUGUUCAGAGAGUGAUGAGCUUGCUUCAUAUCAAGUUAUUUGCAAUUUCACUCAAAGACUUCAAGAACUUGGGGGUGACGUAAAAUUUGUGACGAUGAGUGGCUCUCCUCAUGUAGGUCACUAUCGGGUUUAUCCAAUUGAUUAUAAGGCUGCAGUGACUGAGCUCCUUGGCAAGGCAGCUGCAGUAUAUUCCCAAAGAACUCAACGACUUGAAGGAGAAAGAUUGGUUGUAGAAGGCACGCAUGAUGAGGUCUCUGAACCAAUUGGUGACCUGCGGAAAGCAGUUGCCAGUCCAAACAAAAGCUUCUUGGGAGUUUCUAUCCAACCGAGUGACCAUUUCUGCAUGCCCAGUUCAGUGGGUUAUUAUGAGGGUAGAGAUGUUGGUUCUUUGCAAGACGAACAUAAGGAAGGCGUGAUUCAUUUGCAUAGCCCACCAAGUAUUAAUGCUCAUGGAGUUCUUGGUCAAAUCCUUUUUGAUGUGUGCGUUCCAAAGAACGUUGAAGAUUGGGAUAUAAGGUCAUCAACAUCCUUGAGUGGUCGACAAUAUACUUCUACUCGGAGGCAUGCUCCAUUUAAUCCGAUCAAAUGUAUACGUCGUUCAAGAUUGUAAAAUCUCUCAAUGCUAUCUUAUGAAGGCUGAUAAGUAUGUGAAUAUGCGGGAUUUGUACCUGAUUUGAAGACUUGGCUUGGAAGAUAAAGAGGAAGUAACUUGUUGAAAGCUAACAUGAAAUUCCUAUAAUAAUAAAUGUGGUAGACAAAGGAACUUGAGAUAUGAAAUUUGUAAUAAUUGAUGUUUUGUGGGACAAUAAGGGUAUCGUCGCCUGCCACUACUCUGGCUGGUGUCCCCUCUUCGAACGAAAUGUAUAGUGCUGUCAAAGUUUUUGCUUGAUAUAAAGUAUGCUAAAGAUCCAUUGCAGUCCCCGCUGAGAAUGAGUGGUAUAUGUGAAAUAGGAAUCACCCUUAACUUCCCUCACCUGUCCAUUACAACUUAAUAAUUCAGAAUCAGUAAAGUUGUAAAGCUCUUUAUUGAAGUAAUCCUGCUAUUUC
rnacentral:misc_RNA from 1 species